CUUUCAUUGGUCUCAUUUUCACAUCUCCUGUUCUUUUUCCUUUCAGGGCCAAUGGAAACAACAUCAAGUAAUGAUACCAUGCCAGACCAUUCACCCUCAGCUGCAGUAAAUCCUAGCAAAGGAGACAGCGGCCCGAUGCCCACUACAGCUGGAGCUGGUACAGUAAAAGCUGUUGCUGGAGUUCUUGCGCCUAUUUUCCUCUUUGCGCUCUUGUGAAAAGUUCCUCAAAGCAAAAUGUUGCUAUUCAUUUUUUAAUGAUUUCUUCAAUCUCCACUUGGAUUUCAAUGUAAAGUUUAGUGUUUGCAGCAGUGUUAGAUGAGUUACCAAGAUAUUAUUCACUUGUAUAUUAUACAUGUAAGCUUCAAUUUCACUUGCUUUUGUGUGUACCAUGGUUAAACUGUGUCUGUAAUCACUUUCCUUUUUAUAGAAAUUUUAAGGCUGUGGUUGAACAAAAUAAAGGUCGUCUUCAUAGCAGU